GUCGGCAAUAGAGCAAAGGUUCCUGCAGAGGUUGUUGGCACUUACCCUCUUCGAUUAUCGUCUGAUGUUAGAUUAGAUUUGAAAGACUAUUAUUAUGUUCCUAUAGCUAGUCAGAAUUUAAUUUUCGUGUCUGUGCUAGUAUAGGAAGGUUUUGAAAUUAGUUUCAAUAAAGACUUUUGUUCCAUUUAUUUGCAAAAUAAAUUAAUUGCAUAAGGUCUUUUAAUUGACAGUCUUUAUCACUUACAUGUU
rnacentral:lncRNA from 1 species